AGGGGGGCAUACACAUGAAGCAGCAAUGCGGAUGGUGGCGACCGGCGCACGGGUGAGUAACACGUAUGCAACCUGCCUACAACAGGGGGAUAACCCGUUGAAAGACGGACUAAUACCCCAUAAUACAGGGGUCCCGCAUGGGAAUAUUUGUUAAAGAUUAAUCGGUUGUAGAUGGGCAUGCGUUCCAUUAGCUAGUUGGUGAGGUAACGGCCCACCAAGGCAACGAUGGAUAGGGGAACUGAGAGGUUUAUCCCCCACACUGGUACUGAGACACGGACCAGACUCCUACGGGAGGCAGCAGUGAGGAAUAUUGGUCAAUGGACGCAAGUCUGAACCAGCCACGUCGCGUGAAGGAAGACGGCCCUACGGGUUGUAAACUUCUUUUGUAAGGGAAUAAAGUGUAGUACGUGUACUAUUUUGCAUGUACCUUACGAAUAAGGAUCGGCUAACUCCGUGCCAGCAGCCGCGGUAAUACGGAGGAUCCGAGCGUUAUCCGGAUUUAUUGGGUUUAAAGGGUGCGCAGGCGGGAGAUUAAGUCGGCGGUGAAAUUUUGCAGCUCAACUGUAAAAGUGCCUUCGAAACUGGUUUCCUUGAGUGUAGAUGAAGUAGGCGGAAUUUGUGGUGUAGCGGUGAAAUGCAUAGAUAUCACGAGGAACUCCCGAUUGCGCAGGCAGCUUACUAAGCUACAACCUGACGCUUCAGG
rnacentral:rRNA from 1 species